GCCGGCGUAGCUCAGUUGGUAGAGCAGCGGUUUCGUAAACCGCAGGUCGCCCGUUCAAUCCGGGUCGCCGGCUCCA
rnacentral:tRNA from 18 species